UCUAUCAUUGAAACACUAAAAUGUUUUGGAAUAAGAUAAUAAUUUUCGGUUCGCAGCUUAUGCCACACUCGAUUAAAAUAUUUAAAUCGUUGAAGUAAACGCCAGGGAGAAAGUCGAGUUUUCAGGAAGCCACGGUAUUCUAUAGAUGAGCAUAAUUUGAUUUGUGAAUCACCACGGCGAAUUGCAGCCUCCAUAUGUACUUUCCGAGUCGGAUAUUAGUGUUGAUAUUGGUUGCAAGGGUGAGGAAUGGUAAGUUUCGGAAGAGGUCAAUUACUUCAAGGACUCAUUCAAAGAAAUUAAUCUACCGAAAAAUCUAAAAAGAAUUAUGAUGAUCCAUGGACAUGGUAUCUGGGCUCCAAAAUGCCCUUCGCCGACUCAAAAAAUGUUAAUAAUGUAUUAUGAUAAUUCACUGCGAACCCCCUUAAGUUCAUCAAAUAAUCGUGUUCGCAGUAAUGUAGGUUCUAAUAUGUCUAUAUUAUUAACAAAGUUAUAUGUUAGGUCGAAGUUGCUGUUUCGCAUUAACUUACUACUCCCUGAGGGGUAGAAUAUCAGUUUCACAACGAAUUGAAUAUCAAGUUUUGUUAUUGUUACAGAAAAAAUUAACAAAACCUUGCAUACCGUUUGAAGUCUUCUAUUUUACCUUUGCUUAAACACAGGUAGUUUUAGAAACUAAAAACAGGGGCACAAAAUUCAAGACGCAAUCAGCACUUUCAUACUUUGCCCAUGCUACUAAUAUCUAAGUCCAUUCAUUUCCGGUUUAUUUACCUUCUCUUGCUGCACUGACCAACUGCAUACAAUAUGAACACUCUUCGGAUAUGGUUUACUCGCUUCGUUACGGAAACACUCCUGCAAUCUCCAAGAAUCAUAAAAUUAUGUUGCAUAUGAAAAUUCCAAAAUUUAUUUGGUACUUGCCAAUAAUAUUGAUGUAACAAUUCGGAAUACGGGCAGCUGGUGCUUCGGGUAUAAAAGUUUUAUGCUAUUUCAUAUUUUUUAUCAAACUACAAGAUAUACGUACAUAUUACAGACGUAGAUAUUAUGCUCACCCUAAACAAACAAACAUUGCUUAUUACCGAAUCCUAUAUUUAUACAUGCAUGUAUAUAAAUUGUAUGUAUAUUGAAUACUGCAGGAAUAAUCUUCAAAUAUAUUUAUCUAAGUUAAGCGCUACCACAAAGCAUCAUUUGCAUAUAUUAGGUUGUUGCAUAUGAAAUGGCCGAUCUGGCAAUCAAGUGAAGUUAGUUGCGAUUUUGCUGUAUCAAACCACCACCAGUUGACGCCGUUAGUGUCGGAUAAUGAAGUAUAAAUACUUCUACAUUUAAUCAAGGAGUCAUUUAGUGCGGGCGCAGUUUGAAAAUACCAAGUUCUAUUACAAAUUGUCAAGAUCGAUGUAUAUAAAUAAAGAUAUACACAGUAAAGUAGAUUACAGAGAAGGUCGGGUUGGCCAAACCAUGUAAUAGUCACCCGUUUUGAUAGCAUUAAGAUCUAUUAGCCGUUAUUAAGCUAGCAUUAAGUAAUCAUUGUCUAGUUGUAAGUCACUAUGAGUAAAUAAAUGAAAUGAAAUGAA